rnacentral:rRNA from 1 species
GCCUAACACAUGCAAGUCGAACGCUCCAGGGGCAACCUUGGAGAGUGGCGGACGGGUGAGUAAGACGUGGGUUAUCUACCUUUCGGUGAGGAAUACCGGCGAGAAAUCGCCGACAAAACCGCAUGAGUUCGGGAAACCGAAGAAAGUCGAAAGACGCCGGAAGAUGAGCCUGCGGCCGAUUAGCUAGCUGGUGGGGUAAAAGCUCACCAGGGCGACGAUCGGUAGCUGGUCCGAGAGGACGAUCAGCCACACUGGGAUUGAGAACGGCCCAGACUCCUACGGGGGGCAGCAGUGAGGAAUUUUCGUCAAUGGGGGAAACCCUGAACGAGCAACGCCGCGUGCCGGAAGAAGGUUUUCGGAUCGUAAACGGCUUUUCUGUGGGAAGAGUUUGGACGGUACCACAGGAACAAGCCCCGGCUAACUACGUGCCAGCAGCCGCGGUAAGACGUAGGGGGCGAGCGUUGUCCGGAGUUACUGGGCGUAAAGGGCGUGCAGGCGGUUGGGCAAGUUUGGGGUGACAGUGCUCGGCUUAACUGAGCAAGUGCCUCGAAAACUGUGCAACU